UACGGAGGAUCCGAGCGUUAUCCGGAUUUAUUGGGUGUAAAGGGCGUGUAGGCGGGAAUGCAAGUCAGAUGUGAAAUCCCGCGGCUCAACCGCGGAACUGCAUUUGAAACUGUGCUUCUUGAGUGCUGGAGAGGCAGACGGAAUUCCUAGUGUAGCGGUGAAAUGCGUAGAUAUUAGGAGGAACACCAGUGGCGAAGGCGGUCUGCUGGACAGUAACUGACGGUGAGGCGCGAAAGCGUGGGGAGCAAACAGG
rnacentral:rRNA from 1 species